AAAUAAAAACAGACACUAAACGACGACAGAUAUGGAGAUCAAAGGGCCUCAGAUCAAAGAUCUAAGGAUUGGAUCCAAGAGAGUU